CCGCCUCAAAGCGCAUGCGCCUGCUCCGCGGCGCCAAUACGCGCAGGCUCAGUAUGCGGCGCUGGCCUUUGGGACUAAUCUGACGCACCCUGGAGCGGAACGUGAAGGUAUUUGCCGCAGAUUUCAGCGCGCGUGGUUGAGGAGGGGCUCCGUGGUCACCGCCCCCUUGAGGAUGGGAAUUGAAAGAGUCAUCCCGUGCCUGUCAGGUGGCCAGAACCUAGGAGAUGAGUUUAACAGAACAGAUCGCAUGAACUGGUCCAGGAAGGCCUGUUGCUUCUAAGCCCAAGAACCCAGGAGCCCCUCUCCAUCAUCAUUUCAGAAGAAAAUAGUGGGCGCAGUUCAUUGGAGCACAUGCAUAUGAAUGUGAUAAAACGCAGUGGUUUGCAUAGCCAAGAUAAAAUGGAAUGAAUGACAAAACAAAUUUCCCCAAAGGAAAGAGAAGAGCUGUGAGAUCCGGAGAGGACCGGCAGAAAGAGAAAGUCGCAGAGAAGCUGUCCAGAGGCAGACCAGUCAUCAGUACCUAAUACCAUGAAGUUUUAGUCUUUGUUCAUCUAAAUACAGAGCAUUGCUUUGUACAAAGAAGAAUGGAAAAACAUCUCGGGAACAGAUAUAAUUGCCAGAGAAAACGCUACAGUCGGUAAUAGCCAAGGGGACAUGGGUUCGAGCCCUGGUCUGGGAAGAUCCCACAUGCUACGGAGCAACUAAGCCCAUGCGCCACAACUGCUGAGCCUGUGCUCUAGAGCCCACGAGCCACAACUACUGAGCCCACGUGCCACAACUACUGAAGCCCACGCACCUAGAGCCUGUGCUCUGCAACAAGAGAAGCCACGGCAAUGAGAAGCCUGUGCACUGCAAUGAAGAGUAACCCCUGCUCACCGCAACUAGAGAAAGCCCACACACAGCAACGAAGACCCAGCG